UCCCCGUUACCGGGGCAGUCUGAUUAGAAAAAUCCAACUAAUCAUAAGGGUUGCGCUCGUUGAUGGACUUAACCAAACAUCUCACGACACGAGCUGACGACGGCCAUGCAACACCUGUCACUUGGCUCCCAAAGGCACUCUCGGCUUUCGCCAAAAUUCCAAGGAUGUCAAGUCUGGGUAAGGUUCUUCGCUUACCAUCGAAUUAAACAACACGCUCCACUGCUUGUGCGGCUCCCCGUCAAUUCCUUUGAGUUUUAGUCUUGCGACCGUACUCCCCAGGCGGAAUACUUAACGCGUUAGCUUCGUUACACACAGGGUCGAUACUGCAUACAACUAGUAUUCAUAGUUUACGGCGUGGACUAC
rnacentral:misc_RNA from 1 species